GUCGCCCUCCCCUCGGGGUGGCCACGAGGGACUCCUCCUCCUCUUCCUCCUCCCCUCCCUCCCCCUCGGUCUCCGCCUCCUCCUUCUCCUCCUCCUUCACUGCCCCGACCUCCCGCCCCAGGUUCCACGCGCUCUGAUGCCCGCCCCGCUCACCCAGAGAAGCCCUGGGCCAGACGUCCACAACCCAAGGGGUUAUGGGGAGGCCUCUGCUCCCUGGACACAGUAGUUCUCAAACUGGACAGUGUCAAUCAGCAUCCUCCGGGAGGUCUGGGGUGGCCCCGGAAAUACAUGUGUCCCACCUAUCCCAGCAGGUAAUGAUGAAACUCCUGCUCUGGUCCGGGCUACCGGUGAACAGCGCCCAGCGGGCCGGGCCCCCAACCUCGCUCCUGAGCCUGAACAUCCCCCCAACCCCACCGUGAGAAUUCAGCGAAGAGUAAAAGCUGGAAAAAGUUGCGUGUCUUAGGCUAAGCAGAACAAAGUGGGGUGACGGCUCCCCGGCUAGGAACAGAGAUGCCCUUAGGGAGCCCUCUGAUGGAAGAGCUCUCCGCUUAAGAAGGUCACCACUCCCUUACACUCAGCCCCCCUCAAUCUGAUUCCCUGCUAUGCCUGCCAUCACCACUGGCCAGUUUUACCACAUGCUUCUCAAGACCCAAGGCACAAUAGGCAUAAAGUUGUCCUGAAAAGGACAAGAGGAGUGUCAGAAGUAGGAAUGGCAGUUGAAGGAGCUUCGUCUGCCAGCAGAAAGCUGAAAUGACAGGCAAGCACAAAAUAUAUUAAGGAGACAAAGCUAUGCAUGAGCGAAAUAUCAAACUUUCAUC
rnacentral:lncRNA from 1 species